rnacentral:rRNA from 1 species
AUUGAACGCUGGCGGCAUGCCUUACACAUGCAAGUCGAACGGCAGCGCGGGGCAACCUGGCGGCGAGUGGCGAACGGGUGAGUAAUAUAUCGGAACGUACCCUGGAGUGGGGGAUAACGUAGCGAAAGUUACGCUAAUACCGCAUACGAUCUAAGGAUGAAAGCAGGGGACCGCAAGGCCUUGUGCUCCUGGAGCGGCCGAUAUCUGAUUAGCUAGUUGGUGGGGUAAAGGCCUACCAAGGCAUCGAUCAGUAGCUGGUCUGAGAGGACGACCAGCCACACUGGAACUGAGACACGGUCCAGACUCCUACGGGAGGCAGCAGUGGGGAAUUUUGGACAAUGGGCGCAAGCCUGAUCCAGCAAUGCCGCGUGAGUGAAGAAGGCCUCGGGUUGUAAAGCUCUUUUGUCAGGGAAGAAACGGCGCGGGCUAAUAUCCUGCGCUAAUGACGGUACCUGAAGAAUAAGCACCGGCUAACUACGUGCCAGCAGCCGCGGUAAUACGUAGGGUGCAAGCGUUAAUCGGAAUUACGUGGGCGUAAAGCGUGCGCAGGCGGUUUUGUAAGUCUGUCGUGAAAAUCCCCGGGCUCAACCUGGGGAAUUGCGAUGGAGACUGCAAGGCUAGAAUCUGGCAGAGGGGGGUAGAAUUCCACGUGUAGCAGUGAAAAUGCGUAGAGAUGUGGAGGAACACCGAUGGCGAAGGCAGCCCCUGGGUCAAGAUUGACGCUCAUGCACGAAAGCGUGGGGGAGCAAAACAGGAUUAGAUA